rnacentral:rRNA from 1 species
GAUGCGGCUCUAUCUGCAGUCGAGCGGAAGACGGAGCUUGGUCCCUUACGUUUCGGCGGACAGGUGUGUAUCACGUGUGCAACCUGUGCCUUUUACUGUGAUAUCUCCCGGGAAAAGGAGCGCUAACCGGAUAAUCUCUUUUUCCCCCUGUGGAGAGGGGGUGAGAUGUGUUCUGCUAUCUCUAUGGGAUGGGGCCCCGGCGCACUAUCUCUUUGUGAAAGUGACGGCUUUUCAAGGGGACAAUACGUAUCCCACAUGUGAGGGGGAGCGCCCACACUGUGGCUGAGACACGGCCCCCACACCCACAGGGGGGGCCACUAUGGGAUCUUCUCCACUGGGCAAAAGUCUGAGAGAGAGCCACCCCGCGUGUGAGGAAAGCGUUCUCGUCUCAUAGCUCUGUUGUGAGGGAAAAAACGCGACUGUUCUCAUAUAGGGGGACCUUGUCAGUGCCUCUCCCCAAAGACACGGCUAUAUAUAUGUGACCACCCCCGCGAAUACACAGGUGGGGAGCGUUGUCCCGAAUUUUAGUGCGUAUAGCGCGCGCAGGCGCGUUCUCAUGUGUGAUAUGAAAUCUCUCGGCUCUCCCCCGAGAGCGCAUAGUGAACUGUGGAGAUCGAGUGUGCAAAAGAAGAGAGUAAAUCUACAUGUAUCGCUGAGAUGCGUAUAGAUGUGUAGAAGAACACCUGUCGAGAGCGACUCUCUGUGCUGUGACUGAGACUGAGACGCGCAAGCGUGUGGAGAACACACGAGAAUAUACCCUGUGAGACCCCACGGCAUACAAUAAGAGCGAUGUGUGUUGGGGGUCUCUGUCCCCAGUGUGCCAAUUACACAUAAUACACUCUGCCCGUGGGAGUACAGCCGCGCAAGUGAGACACACAAGAGAUGACAGGGGACACGCGCACACACUGGAGCAUGUGUGUUUAAUUUCAGCAACACGCGA